rnacentral:rRNA from 1 species
AGCGGCGGACGGGUGAGUAAUGCGUAGGAAGCUGCCCGAUAGAGGGGGAUACCAGUUGGAAACGACUGUUAAUACCGCAUAAUGUCUACGGACCAAAGUGUGGGACCUUCGGGCCACAUGCUAUCGGAUGCGCCUACGUGGGAUUAGCUAGUUGGUGAGGUAAUGGCUCACCAAGGCGACGAUCUCUAGCUGGUUUGAGAGGAUGAUCAGCCACACUGGAACUGAGACACGGUCCAGACUCCUACGGGAGGCAGCAGUGGGGAAUAUUGGACAAUGGGCGCAAGCCUGAUCCAGCCAUGCCGCGUGUGUGAAGAAGGCCUUCGGGUUGUAAAGUACUUUCAGCGAGGAGGAAGGGUGGUGUGUUAAUAGCACAUCAUUUUGACGUUACUCGCAGAAGAAGCACCGGCUAACUCUGUGCCAUUAGCCGCGGUAAUACAGAGGGUGCAAGCGUUAAUCGGAAUUACUGGGCGUAAAGCGCACGUAGGCGGUUUUUUAAGUCAGAUGUGAAAGCCCCGGGCUCAACCUGGGAAUUGCAUUUGAAACUGGAAAACUAGAGUGUGUGAGAAGGGGGGUAGAAUUCCAAGUGUAGCGGGUGAAAUGCGUAGAGAUUUGGAGGAUUACCAGUGGCGAAAGGCGGCCCCUCUGGCACAAUCACUGACGCUCAGGUGCGAAAGCGUGGGGAGCAACAGGAAUUACAUACCCUGGGUAG